rnacentral:lncRNA from 1 species
AGACUAAAAUACUAAUAUGUGCAGAGCAAAGUAUUGUAUGUUUUUUUUUUUUUUUUAUUGUUUGUAGAAAAAUAGCAAAAAUGAUUGAUGCCAAAACUUGGACUGAGAGAACUGCAGAUUCAUUUGAGGUAAAAUGAGGAUUGCACUAUGAUGGUUACAUUAAAAACUGAUGAACUGUGAUGGUUACAUUGCAUAAUUCUAAUAGGAAAUCCCAAGACAUAAAGGAGGCAACAACUGCGGUAUAUAUGUGCUGAUGGAAGACAUGCCUUUCAUCAGACGAUGGUGGUGUACUCUGCUGAUGACUAACUUCGCUGUGCAAAUGCCAAGAUGCAAGUUAUCUGAAGGAGAGGAUGGAAGUGAUGAGCCUCCUUAUAAGAAACAGCACCUCCAGGAACAAUCAGAUUGCACAGGUAUACACUGAUUUUUUUUUUUUGUAUUAUUUUGAACAGUGUGAUAGAUUACAACCAAUCCAUUUUCUCAGAUAAGGUGAUGUACAAAUUUGCUUCAUACUCAUGCAGACAAUGUUUUGUUAGGUACACCUAACUAACUGAUUAACAACAGACUGCAUGGGUGUUGCUAUUGAGUAAAUGCUAAACCAGAUACCCACAGAAAAAGAUUUGAGUAUAAGGUGUUCUGCUCUAAUUAUGUUCUACGGUGUAAAGAAAUAAUUCAUAUGGAACCAAGGAAUAGGAUAAUGUGAGUAAUAUAAUGUAUUUAAUAAGUGAUUAAAUAUAUACUGUUGUGUGUACAUGUCACUGGUUAAAUAUGCGCUACACCGCGCUGAACUUAGUUCAGAAUCAGCUUCUUAUCACUGGUAACGCCGCGGCUUUCCUCUCACUCAUUCCCGCAGUGGAGUAAAAUAAUGUAUUCAAUGCUUUGAUUAGAUCAGAGCUUAUGUGGCAUAGUCAGUGCUGAUUGCUAUUUAUUUGCCUGACAGCUGCAGUCCUGACUAGAUAUCUUCAUGUUGUGAUCGAGAGGUGUUUUACUGUUCACAAAAAUGUUAUCACACAAAUGUAUAUACAGGUGGAAGAGAACCUGAGGACUCACAGGAGAAUGCAACAAUCCUGCAGGUUUCUAUUAAAUAUUUUAAAUAUUUCAUAUUUUUAGAGGAUGGACAACUUGCAGGAUAAUGGUCAUUAAUGUGUUGUUGAACAACUCAAACAGAGUGAAAGGAAGAUGAUUACAUAUGCAGAGAAACAGAAGGACAAAAAAGUGUAAUUUAUAGAACUCAUUCUGUUGUCUGUGUGUCCGUCUCCCGGUCUCCCAUAGAUCCCAAAUAAAAAUUUUACAAAGGAUCCUCCUGGAGGUG